GGGGUGCAGCAGGCGCGAAAACUUUACAAUGCGGGAAACCGUGAUAAGGGGACACCGAGUGCCAGCAUCAUAUGCUGGCUGUCCAGGUGUGUAAAAUACACCUGUUAGCAAGGGCCGGGCAAGACCGGUGCCAGCCGCCGCGGUAACACCGGCGGCCCGAGUGGUGAUCGUGAUUAUUGGGUCUAAAGGGUCCGUAGCCGGUUUGGUCAGUCCUCCGGGAAAUCUGAUAGCUCAACUAUUAGGCUUUCGGGGGAUACUGCCAGACUUGGAACCGGGAGAGGUAAGAGGUACUACAGGGGUAGGAGUGAAAUCUUGUAAUCCCUGUGGGACCACCUGUGGCGAAGGCGUCUUACCAGAACGGGUUCGACGGUGAGGGACGAAAGCUGGGGGCACGAACCGGAUUAGAUACCCGGGUAGUCCCAGCCGUAAACGAUGCUCGCUAGGUGUCAGACAUGGCGCGACCGUGUCUGGUGCCGCAGGGAAGCCGUGAAGCGAGCCACCUGGGAAGUACGGCCGCAAGGCUGAAACUUAAAGGAAUUGGCGGGGGAGCAC
rnacentral:rRNA from 1 species